rnacentral:rRNA from 1 species
AUGGUGUUUUUGGACCUUGCAUGGAAUGAGUUGUGUGGAAGAUUGCCUACAUGGAUAGGAGACUUGGGGAAAUUAAGAUUUGUACUGAGCCACAAUGCAUUUUGUGAUGAUAUUCCGGUCGAAGUAACAAGGCUCAGGAAUCUUCAAUACUUGGAUCUAUCAGCCAAUAAUUUCUCUGGUGCAAUACCCGGGCAUCUAUCAAACCUGACAUUUAUGAAAAGGACACAAAAGGAAUUCAUGGGUAUGUAUGACACAUAUAAUGCAUCCGCGCACAUCGGUGAGAUGGCAGCUGGUCACCUGGGAGAAAUAUUGCCAGUAGUAACAAAAGGCAUCAACUUUUAUAUGGUGGAGCAAUUGUUUAUGUUGUGA